GAUGAACGCUGGCGGCGUGCCUAAUACAUGCAAGUCGAGCGGACAGAUGAGGAGCUUGCUCCUCUGACGUUAGCGGCGGACGGGUGAGUAACACGUGGAUAACCUACCUAUAAGACUGGGAUAACUUCGGGAAACCGGAGAUAAUACCGGAUCAUAUAUUGAACCGCAUGGUUCAAUAGUGAAAGACGGCUUUGCUGUCACUUAUAGAUGGAUCCGCGUCGGAUUAGCUAGUUGGUAAGGUAACGGCUUACCAAGGCGACGAUGCGUAGCCGAGCUGAGAGGGUGAUCGGCCACACUGGAACUGAGACACGGUCCAGACUCCUACGGGAGGCAGCAGUAGGGAAUCUUCCGCAAUGGGCGAAAGCCUGACGGAGCAACGCCGCGUGAGUGAUGAAGGUCUUCGGAUCGUAAAACUCUGUUAUUAGGGAAGAACAAAUGUGUAAGUAACUAUGCACGUCUUGACGGUACCUAAUCAGAAAGCCACGGCUAACUACGUG
rnacentral:rRNA from 1 species